rnacentral:lncRNA from 1 species
GACACAGGCACAGACAGAAGCACUGUGUGAAAACCGUGGUGCCCCAGCAACACAAGUGGCUGGGGAGCAUCUGGUUAUUGGACGGUGUUUUGGAGCAAAUGUCAGCUGGUGUUUCUACACUAACAAGGGUGGUGCAGACGCAGCCCCGUGCAGAGCACCUGCCGUCUUUGCACUGCACAACAACCUGGGGCGGUGUGGGUUUCUGACUCCUGUUUUAGAGAGCAAUUUAAAGCUCAGAAGGGCUCGAUGGCUGGCUGUUAAACAGAUUACAGAUUCAGCUUCUGUUUGUUCCUCCCACUGCAUCCCCGUCCCUUAUGCAAGGCAUGGAAAGUCUGCGUGCAGGGUUCAGCUAGGGUGCCCUGCCAGCCCUUCUCCUGUAGUUCAUCCUCAAGCAAAACAAGGUUCUCGGAUUUCUCUGCUCCGGCUAGCCUGCUUCCAGUGUCCUCAGCGCAUCGGGUGUUCCGGGGCUGUAGCAGUAGUGAAUAUUGCUGAUGUCAUUGUUUGCCUUAUUGGGAUUUUGCUCUUUGUCUCGCAGGGAGCUGUGAUUGGUAUAGACGACGAGGACGACAGCACCUUCACAAUCACUGUGGAUC